CGGGGCGUAGCGAAGCUUGGUUUAUCGCGCCUGGUUUGGGACCAGGAGGUCGUCAGUUCGAAUCUGACCGCCCCGA
rnacentral:tRNA from 1 species